rnacentral:rRNA from 1 species
GAUGAACGCUGGCGGCGUGCCUAAUACAUGCAAGUCGAGCGAACGGACGAGAAUCUUGCUUCUCUGAUGUUAGCGGCGGACGGGUGAGUAACACGUGGAUAACCUACCUAUAAGACUUGGCUAACUUCGGGAAACCGGAGCUAAUACCGGGUAAUAUUUUGAACUGCAUGGUUCAAAAGUGUAAGACGGUCUUGCUGUCACUUAUAGAUGGAUCCGCGCUGUAUUAGCUAGCUGGUAAGGUAACGGCUUACCAAGGCAGCGAUGGAUAGCCGACCUGAGAGGGUGAACGGCCACACUGGAAGUGAGACACGGUCCAGACUCCUACGGGAGGCAGCAGUAGGGAAUCUUCCGCGAUGGGCGAAAGCCUGAAGGAGCAACGCCGCGUGGGUGAUGAAGGUCUUCGGAUCGUAAAACUCUGUUAUUAGGGAAGAACAUAUGUGUAAGUAACUGUGCACAGCUUGACGGUACCUAAUCAGAAAGCCACGGCUAACUACGUG